rnacentral:rRNA from 1 species
UGUCCGGAAUUAUUGGGCGUAAAGAGCUCGUAGGCGGUUUGUCGCGUCUGCUGUGAAAACCCGAGGCUCAACCUCGGGCCUGCAGUGGGUACGGGCAGACUAGAGUGCGGUAGGGGAGAUUGGAAUUCCUGGUGUAGCGGUGGAAUGCGCAGAUAUCAGGAGGAACACCAAUGGCGAAGGCAGAUCUCUGGGCCGUAACUGACGCUGAGGAGCGAAAGCAUGGGGAGCGAACAGGAUUAGAUACCCUGGUAGUCCAUGCCGUAAACGUUGGGAACUAGAUGUGGGGACCAUUCCACGGUCUCCGUGUCGCAGCUAACGCAUUAAGUCCCCGCCUGGGGAGUACGGCCGCAAGGCUAAAACUCAAAGGAAUUGACGGGGCCCGCACAAGCGGCGGAGCAUGCGGAUUAAUUCGAUGCAACGCGAAGAACCUUACCAAGGCUUGACAUAUACCGGAAACGGCUGGAAACAGUCGCCCCGCAAGGUCGGUAUACAGGUGGUGCAUGGUUGUCGUCAGCUCGUGUCGUGAGAUGUUGGGUUAAGUCCCGCAACGAGCGCAACCCUCGUCCUAUGUUGCCAGCACGUAAUGGUGGGAACUCAUGGGAUACUGCCGGGGUCAACUCGGAGGAAGGUGGGGAUGACGUCAAAUCAUCAUGCCCCUUAUGUCUUGGGCUUCACGCAUGCUACAAUGGCCGGUACAAAGGGCCUCGAUACCGCAAGGUGGAGCGAAUCCCAAAAAGCCGGUCUCAGUUCGGAUUGAGGUCUGCAACUCGACCUCAUGAAGUCGGAGUCGCUAGUAAUCGCAGAUCAGCAACGCUGCGGUGAAUACGUUCCCGGGCCUUGUACACACCGC